CUAUAAUGCAGUUGACGCAACAAAGACACCAGAGCUUGCUCUACCGUUUUUGUUGAGUAGCGAACGGGUGAGUAACGCGUGGGUAACCUGCCUUAUAGCGGGGGAUAACUAUUGGAAACGAUAGCUAAUACCGCAUAACAAUAGAGAUUGCAUAAUCUUUAUUUGAAAGUGCCAACUGGUACACUAUGAGAUGGACCCGCGUUGUAUUAGCUAGUUGGUAGUGUAAUGGACUACCAAGGCGAUGAUACAUAGCCGACCUGAGAGGGUGAUCGGCCACAUUGGGACUGAGACACGGCCCAAACUCCUACGGGAGGCAGCAGUAGGGAAUCUUCGGCAAUGGACGAAAGUCUGACCGAGCAACGCCGCGUGAGUGAAGAAGGUUUUCGGAUCGUAAAACUCUGUUGUUAGAGAAGAAUGUUGAUUAGAGUGGAAAAUUAAUCAAGUGACGGUAUCUAACCAGAAAGGGACGGCUAACUACGUGCCAGCAGCCGCGGUAAUACGUAGGUCCCGAGCGUUGUCCGGAUUUAUUGGGCGGANAGCGAGCGCAGGUGGUUUAAUAAGUCUGAUGUAAAAGGCAGUGGCUCAACCAUUGUGUGCAUUGUAAACUGUUAGACUUGAGUGCAGGAUAGGAGAGCGGAAUUCCAUGUGUAUCGGCGAAAUGCGUGUAUAUAUGGAGGAACACCG
rnacentral:rRNA from 1 species